rnacentral:misc_RNA from 1 species
GAAAUGCGAUAAGUAAUGUGAAUUGCAGAAUUCAGUGAAUCAUCGAAUCUUUGAACGCACCUUGCGCUCAUUGGUAUUCCUUGGAGCAUGCCUGUUUGAGUAUCAUGAAAUCUUCAAAGUAAAUCUUUUGUUAACUCAAUUGGUUUCUACUUUGGUAUUGGAGGUCUUUGCAGCUUCACACCUGCUCCUCUUUGUUCAUUAGCUGGAUCUCAGUGUUAUGCUUGGUUCCACUCGGCGUGAUAAGUUAUCUAUCGCUGAGGACACUGUAAAAGGUGGCCAAGGUAAAUGCAGAUGAACCGCUUCUAAUAGUCCAUUGACUUGGACAAUACUUUUAUGAUCUGAUCUCAAAUCAGGUAGGACUACCCGCUGAACUUAAGC